rnacentral:piRNA from 1 species
UGACCACCCUGCAGCUCCCCCUGCCGUGCCC